rnacentral:rRNA from 1 species
GAUGAACGCUGACAGAAUGCUUAAUACAUCAGCAAUUGAUUGGUGGCGGACGGGUGAGUAACGCGUAAAGAACUUACCUCACAGUUCGGGACAACAAUUGGAAACGAAUGCUAAUACCUAAUACUGUGAGAGAGCUUUGCGUCCCAUUAGCUAGUUGGGUAGGUAACGGAUCACCAAGGCGAUGAUGGGUAGCCGGACUGGGAGGGUGAUCGGCCACAAGGGGACUGGGACACGGCCCUUACUCCUACGGGAGGAAGCAGUGGAGAAUAUUGGACAAAGGACCAAAGUCUGAUCCAGCAAUUCGGUGUGCACGAUGAAGUUUUCGGAAUGUAAAGUGCUUUCAGUUGGGAAGCGGUACCAACAGAAGAAGUGACGGCUAAAUACGUGCCAGCCGCCGCGGUAAUUC